rnacentral:rRNA from 1 species
UACAGGGGGUGCAAGCGUUGCUCGGAAUCACUGGGCGUAAAGCGUACGCAGGCGGACCGUUAAGUCGGGUGUGAAAUCCCGGGGCUCAACUCCGGAACUGCAUUCGAAACUGGCGGUCUUGAGUACGGGAGAGGUGAGUGGAAUUCCUGGUGUAGAGGUGAAAUGCGUAGAUAUCAGGAGGAACACCGGUGGCGAAGGCGGCUCACUGGCCCGAUACUGACGCUCAGGUACGAAAGCGUGGGGAGCAAACAGG